AACAAUCAAAUCAGGCAUCUGGUCAUAUUCAAAGGGAGAAAUUAGGUAGGUCUGCUAUGUAUUAUACUGGUGUCUUAAUUAUAACAAGUAAAUUUUAUCUUGGAUGUUGAGAAACUUGAAUACAAUAUACACUGAAACUUUCACUAAGUGAUUGGCAUCAAAUAAACUACAUGAAAACUAAGUAUUGCUUAGGCAACACAAAUGACAGAAGAAUGAGAAAAAAAAUUAUUCCGACUUGAUAAAGGUAAUUUUCAGCAAUGCUUUGGCUUCUUCCUAAACAGCUUGAGAACAUGCCAGGUUUUUAGAGUGUUGCAACAGCUAUGUUAAAAUUACAGAAGAUUAAUACCCUUUGGAAGUCCAAAACCAUGUUAGCUGAUUCUACAUCUAUCAAUAGACCUUUCCGAUUCUACGUAAUCUUUUGAAUCAGGAGCCCAAAGUUGAAAAGAACAUAAAUAGUUUCUGGAAUUUAUGUCAACUAAUAAGUAUGAUUGGGGCAGUAAUAUAGAUUCCACUAGUUUUUGGAUGCAAGUAUUAAAUAUAAAAUGCAUUUUAACACAUAUGUGUGUGUGUGUGUGUGUG
rnacentral:misc_RNA from 1 species